GGAAUCUUGCGCAAUGGGCGAAAGCCUGACGCAGCAACACCGUGUGUGUGACGAAGGCCUUCGGGUCGUAAAGCACUGUUGUUGGGGACGAAGGGUUAGGGGUUAAUAGCCCCGAGCCUGACGGUACCCUUCGAGGAAGCCCCGGCUAACUCCGUGCCAGCAGCCGCGGUAAUACGUAGGGGGCGGGCGUUGUCCGGAAUUAUUGGGCGUAAAGAGCGUGUAGGCGGUUCGGUAAGUCUGUCGUGAAAACCCAGGGCUCAACCCUGGGCGUGCGAUGGAUACUGCCGGGCUAGAGGGUGGUAGAGGCGAGUGGAAUUCCCGGUGUAGCGGUGAAAUGCGCAGAUAUCGGGAGGAACACCAGUAGCGAAGGCGGCUCGCUGGGCCACACCUGACGCUGAGACGCGAAAGCGUGGGGAGCAAAC
rnacentral:rRNA from 1 species